ensembl:snoRNA SNORA71 Small nucleolar RNA SNORA71
GCAGGCUGCUAACCUGGGCUGCCCAUGUCCAGGUCACCGAUAGUGCAGGGAAAGGGUUUGCCGAAAGUGUUUCCCUGUGUUCGGAGGGUCCACUCCUGUCCCUUUCAAACCUGGAACAUUCCCGCA